CCUCCUUUCUUUCCUUAUCUUCACCACGAAGGCACGCCCUCUCUCUCGUUUCCUCUCACCUGCCGCCACAAGAGCCGCCGCAACAACGCAACACCGCCCAAGCACGCGACCUCCUCUCUCUCUCUCUCCCUGGUGUGAUCCGCUCUCCCACACAGCUAGACGAACGCCUUCAUCUCGAGCGGGUGAGUGGGUGAUCGGAGAGGGCGGCGCUGGCGGUUUCGAUCCGUGAUCUUUCUCGACGCGGAUGGCGGCGUAUCGAUCCCGCUGAAGCGGCUGGCGGCUUCCGGCCCAGGAGGCUUGGGGUGUUCGUGGCGGCUGCGAGGAGGUAGCGAUGGGGUUCUGCGACCGGAUGAGGAAAGGGCGCCGAUCUCGCUCCUCCUGCUCCCAAUCGCUGGCGCGGCCACCAUCGACCAGAUCUUCAGAACCUCAGUGUUGAAGCACAAAAUAGAAGGGGGUGAAUGAGGAGGCAAUGGUUGACGGCAACCAUGGGAGGAGGUCGGGGCGUCGAAGAGUAUUGAGUUGGCGAAUCCGGCGAGAUGUGGUUCAAGCAAAUGUUGAUGAUGCGGCAAUGAGAAGACCCUCUCUGUGAGCCCUAUCCCUCUCACUUGGAGUCUCGGUUUUUGUUUCUGGUGCUCCCUAUUUCUCUCCUUCAUUUUAGUGUUCGGUUCGUUGAAAACACCAGCUGCUAAGGUUCUUUAGACCGUUGUGAGAAAGCAUCCAUACUUCCAUAGGAAAAAUCUUGCACUUACCAAAUAGAAGUCUCAAAGUAGAGAGUGCAAGGAAUAUUUGAUCAUUGGCCAGAUGUGGUGAUGUGCAUCUGUUGAAUGAACCGUCCGUCCGGUCACCUCUAUUUUAUUUUGUGCUGAUUAUUGGUGAGUUUCAAACUUCCAAUUUGAUAGAUCCUGCAGAAGAAGAGCAUGGAGAACAUCUCCCUCUUCCUAUAUAUCUCAAAUUGGACUUACAGGUGAUCGAUCCAUGGAGUUGAAGUGUUUGUCAAAUUGCUUGCCAGGGUGAUUAGGAUUUUAUAGGUCACUAUUUGAUUUCUGUCAUAAUAUUUAAACUACUACUGAUCUUCUAAAAUGUUAUUUGUUAUUUCUUUCAGCUAUCAGCUGGUCAGUUUUGAUGUGUUUUCGACAUUACGAGCCUAUCACUUUUGAUGUGUUGGUAUUACAAUGAAACGGAGUUGCCAUUUCAGUUUGCAUCUACACUCUACUAUUUAUGCUUUUGAAGUACAUGUCAUUGCACAACUAUUGAUAUAUGAUUCAUAUAGAACUUGAUGAAUUGCAGAGUUAUACUUUCACAAUUUUAUAAGAUACUGAAACCAGUUCGCCUUCUUUUUGAUGAGGAGGUUCUCUUAGAAAAUCGGCACCUGAAGGUCACUAUUUUAAUUCCUAUAAUCAAUGGCUACAAAAUGCUUCUAGCUCUACAAUGAGGCUGCUUUGCACACCGCGUGAACUCUGCUUUGCACUUGCAGCGAUCGCGCCAUUUCUGGAAGCGGCAAGGGCGGUGGGUUGUACCUGUGCCGGUGCCAUCACUUGACGCUCCACCUGGAUGGCGCCGGGCUGGGAGCUGCGGGAAAUACGUGUAUUGAGGACCACGGUGUGCGGGUCAUGUGCCUGAUGCUAGACGCGAUGGUCGGGCACCAGACUGUCAUCGGCAACUACAAACAACAGAACAUGCGAGUCGUCUACAACCUUGAUAGAGCCAUGCUAUCCUUUGUGUCGGCGCACUAUAACUGUUCUGAACAAAGGAAGAACUUGUAAUCACAUGAAAUAUGCCAAUGUGGCAGUGGUACUGAACUGAAGCAACGAUUUCUUUGAAUGAAAUGUGAACUGGAAUGUAGAGCUGACAAAAA